GAUGAAGAACGCAGCGAAAUGAGAUAAGUAAUGUGAAUUGCAGAAUUCAGUGAGACAUCGAAUCUUUGAACGCACAUUGCGCCCUGUGGUAUUCCGCAGGGCAUGCCUGUUCGAGCGUCAUUUCAACCCUCAAGCCCCGCUUGGUGUUGGGCCCCGCCCGCCGUGGCCGGCCCUAAAGACAGUGGCGGCGCCGCCUGGCCCUCAGCGUAGUACAGCUCUCGCUCCAGGGUCCGGCGGCCGCCUGCCAGAACCCCCCCAACUCUGUGGUUGACCUCGGAUCAGGUAGGGAUACCCGCUGAACUUAAGCAUAUCAAUAAGCGGAGGA
rnacentral:misc_RNA from 1 species